AGGUAAGCGAUAAAUUGCAAUUAGCUACGGCCUAAUUUUAGUAUCAACUACAGAUACACCUA
rnacentral:tRNA from 1 species